rnacentral:lncRNA from 1 species
GAGGAAAGGCGAGGCUCUGCAUCUAGAUUUACCUCGUUCUCUUUUGUCUCCGCUUUUUUUUCACAUUUCCUUGCGACCCUGGCCCUUGAGCGACAAAAAGGGGAAGCCAAGGCUGGCCCGAGGAACGGAGAGGGCACAUGGCCUAGCCACAAGUGGAGCUUCUGCUCCGCCCGAAGGGAUGCGCUGGAGCGGCCUCUUCCUUCUGCCACGGUCUUUCUUUGCCAACUAGUAGGACAUCCCUGUAGAAGUUCUGCUGCGUGUGGUCCAGCCGUCCCCACUCCUCCCGGGAGAGGUACAAGGCCACAUCCUCGAAAGUCACUGGCAUCUGAAACAAUGUGAAACAUCCACUCUCCAGGACAUGACGUGGACACGGUGGAGGGACACCAUGGCAUGAGAUGUGUGGUGAGACCCCGGACUCCCAACCCACUGUGUCGAGUGAGGCCUGCCACUUCCAUCUGAUCGGGAAGCAGGUGAGCCACCCAAGGCCUUCUGGGGAGUUGAGAAAGAACAAAGACCAAGAGGUAUUUUCAGGGAUCACAGUUAAGACUUAGGAUGUCCAUGCAGCCCCCAGCCUCAGCUGAGACCUCGGAGGACGGUUCCCAACGGCUACCAGCGAGAGGCCCUGUGUCUCUAAUUCCUGCUGCUUCUCCUCCAGCUUUGGCCCAGGCCUGACCAUGGGCCUUGAGCCUGGACAAUUCCAGCAACACUAGCAAGAGCCCCAGGCUUCAGGCUUGGCUGCAAGUGGGGCCAGCGGGGUCCUGGCUUUCACACAGAACCAGCAGAUGCAGGAAGGGCUGAGUACCAUGCAGGGGCCGGGGAAGGGCCACUCACCUGGGACCAGGCAGUGAGGAGCGCUGCAGCCAUCUGCCGGUCUCUGGUCCUCCCCUCUCGGGAAAGCACGGGGAUCCGGGGGGAGGGGAGGGCUGUGGGAGGAGAGAGGUCCUCACGGUGAUCAGCUCAUCCUGCUGGACCUGCUGCUACUUCAGCUGCCUCAAACUCCACCCCUGGCCCGACCCAAGGACAGGGUCGGAUGGCUCUGACGCUGCCAGGGGGCUGUGGGCCAUGGGGGGAUAGCGUCCCCUGCUGGCAUAGAGACCCUCAGCCCCACCUGGACCUGGGCCAAACCUCCACCUCCCCACAGCUGCCUCCCUGGGAAAGCGCCUCUUCCCCGUCCCUCUCCUACCUCCGCCAGGCAGGAAGAGAGCUUUCUCCUUAGAGCCGUGACUUAGGGGUGCCCAGCCCCAGGCACCUUGAGCCCCAUCCUCCUGCGAUGCCCCCUCGGAGUGUGGCUCUUCGGGCUCCAUCUUAAUGUGCAGUGACUCCUGAGUGUCCCCUGAAGGUACCGCCUCCCCCAGCUUAGAAGGCAUUUCCUGAUGAGGAUGUCCACGAUCUGGAACCUAGAAAGGACAGCCCCAUCAGCACCCAGAUGAGUGGGAGAGACACCCAGGGCCACAUGGCAGUGCGCUCCGGCAGCGUCGGAAACCAACAUGCAAGACGCAGCUUGAAGGACUGUCCUUGCUGCAUUCAUCCAGCUCACCCCAGCAAGGACGGGCGGCAAGAGGAGGAAUAUUCACCAAGCCGCCUCCACAGUGCCGGUGGGCGUGGUGCCCAAGGGCAGCUACCCCUUCUCAGCUCCAGCCUCACACUGACCUCAGCAGUGUAGACUGCUGUCUAUUAGUGUAUGAAGAAACCAAGUGUAGUGGCUUGAAUAGUGUCCUCUAAGAAUCCGUGUCCUCCCUGGACCUCAGAAUGGGACCUUAUUGGGGAAAAGGGUCUUUAUACAGAAUAGGAGAGGACACAGAGACACAGAGAAGGAAGCAGAGACUGGAGGGAUGCCCACACCAAGGACACCAGGAGCCCCCAAGGAGUUGGAAGAGGUAAGGGAGGGUCCUCUUAGUCUAGAGCUUUCAAAAGGAGUGUGACCCUGCUGACACCUAGAUUUUGGACUGCAGGCCUCCAGGACUGUGAGAGAGCCAAUUCUGGUUGUUUUCAGCCCCCCAGAGAGUGGAAACUUGUUACAGCAGCCACGGGAGACUAACACACCAUGGCUGGGGAUGAGACAAUGCCCCGUGACCACAUAGCUCAAAAGCUUUGGGAAAGUCAGGGAGGGCCCUGGUGGGGCCUCAUCCACAGCACAGGAACUGGCCGGACUUCUGCUGGGGUCUCACACUCCUUCCUCCACGCCCUGUCUGUGUUUGGGUCUUGAAGGGAAAGAACCUCAGGCCAGGAAUCAGAGUGCCUGGGUGCCAGACCCAGCGACACCCCUCCCCAAUCAGGCAGCCUUCAGGACGCAGCUGCUCUGCCCCUGCACAGAAUGGUCAUGAGGUUCACGCAGAUAAUGAUGGAGAAGGAGCUGCCAGCUCAGGAAAGUCCUGGAUAAACACAGGGUGGCGCUGGUCAUUAAUCCCCCCCGCCGUGCGCACCAGACAGAAGCCAGUGCCAGCAGAGAAUGCCAACAUGUGGGGCUCUACUGACAUGCCCAAGGUGUUCAAGGCACACGGGAAGUGGAUGGGAAACUGAACCAUGCUAACAAUUCUUUGUGCUUCUAUGGCAUGAAAACCAUAGAUGAUGGCGUCUCAUGCCUAUUAUCCUUAGAGCCUCCCAGUGACCCUGCGAGACAGGUGGAAAUGGCAGGCAUGUGGUCUGCAUUUUACAGAUGACACAUCUGGUUCCCAGAGGCCAGGGACUGGCCCCUGGCCUGUCGCUGACUCAUACUCCUCCAACUCCAAGCCCGGAGACCCAGGUCCCCCACAAAUAGUAAUUACACACACACACUCAACCACGCACGCACACACACACGGGUAGCAGGUACAGGAAGGAGAAAGGACCGGGAGCUCAGACCCACAGAGAUGAGAAGCUGUGGUUCCAGGUGGAGAAGCACGGGGAAGGAGAACAGGUUUCCCUGUGUGCUCUGAGCGCUGCUCAGAAAGAAAACCUCACUGAUAGGACCUCCACCCAGACCUCUUCCAUCUCCUGUGGCCACUGGCUAGAGAAUUCACCAGCAAAGCAAAACUGUUAUGCUGUAAAUUCCAGACAGAGGGUACUACCCAGCAUGCCACCUUCUCUUUGAUCUCCCCACCCCAGUGAGUCUAACUCUUCCAGGGGUCCAGACUCUGUGCCUUGAAAAUCUCCUCCGCACCAGCCUCUUCUACCGCACACCUCCCUCAGCCAGCCCCAUCUGUACCUCCGGGGGUGUCUCCUUGUCCUGGGUGUCCUGGAUGCCUCCGCCGUCUGCAGACAUUUUCUAUUUCAGAGCUAGAAAGAACAGCUGAGUUGUUUCUCCCUCUUUUUGGCCAAGCCCCCUCCAGCUUCUGGCCAGGAGCCUAGAAGAGCAGACAGAAACCAGCCCUCGCUUCCUGGACACCCCCAAAGAGCCCUGAAAAUCCCCACGAGUACCAGCGCUCCC